UACGUAGGGGGCAAGCGUUGUCCGGAAUCAUUGGGCGUAAAGCGCGUGUAGGCGAUCCGGUAAGUCGGUUGUGAAAGUCCAGGGCUCAACCCUGGGAUGCCGACCGAUACUGUCGGACUAGAGUUCGGAAGAGGCGAGUGGAAUUCCCGGUGUAGCGGUGAAAUGCGCAGAUAUCGGGAGGAACACCAAUGGCGAAGGCAGCUCGCUGGGACGUUACUGACGCUGAGACGCGAAAGCGUGGGGAGCAAACAGG
rnacentral:rRNA from 1 species